GUCUAUGGCCAUAGCACACUGAAUGCGCACUCGAUCAUUUGAUCUUAGAAGCUAAGCAGGAUCUGGCCUGGUUAGUACUUGGAUGGGAGAACACCUGGAAAUGCUGGGUGCUAUAGGCU
rnacentral:rRNA from 1 species